GGAUAGAGGCGCGGGAUCUAAGAGUACCGCCGGCAAGAGCGUGGGAAGCUGCCGGAGGGGAAAGGAGAUACCGCCGAAGGAGCAGGACCGUCCCACAGGCGCUGUUCCUGGGACGCCGCAGAAUAUGCGGCGGACUGUCACAAGGAUGUGGAGCGCUAUCA
rnacentral:ncRNA from 1 species